CUAAUACAUGCAAGUCGAGCGGACCGACGGGAGCUUGCUCCCUUAGGUCAGCGGCGGACGGGUGAGUAACACGUGGGUAACCUGCCUGUAAGACUGGGAUAACUCCGGGAAACCGGGGCUAAUACCGGAUGCUUGAUUGAACCGCAUGGUUCAAUCAUAAAAGGUGGCUUUCAGCUACCACUUACAGAUGGACCCGCGGCGCAUUAGCUAGUUGGUGAGGUAACGGCUCACCAAGGCGACGAUGCGUAGCCGACCUGAGAGGGUGAUCGGCCACACUGGGACUGAGACACGGCCCAGACUCCUACGGGAGGCAGCAGUAGGGAAUCUUCCGCAAUGGACGAAAGUCUGACGGAGCAACGCCGCGUGAGUGAUGAAGGUUUUCGGAUCGUAAAACUCUGUUGUUAGGGAAGAACAAGUACCGUUCGAAUAGGGCGGCACCUUGACGGUACCUAACCAGAAAGCCACGGCUAACUACGUGCCAGCAGCCGCGGUAAUACGUAGGUGGCAAGCGUUGUCCGGAAUUAUUGGGCGUAAAGCGCGCGCAGGCGGUUUCUUAAGUCUGAUGUGAAAGCCCCCGGCUCAACCGGGGAGGGUCAUUGGAAACUGGGGAACUUGAGUGCAGAAGAGGAGAGUGGAAUUCCACGUGUAGCGGUGAAAUGCGUAGAGAUGUGGAGGAACACCAGUGGCGAAGGCGACUCUCUGGUCUGUAACUGACG
rnacentral:rRNA from 1 species